rnacentral:misc_RNA from 1 species
GCCAAUAUGUUACAGUGAGUAGGGUGAAAUUCAGCUGAAGUUAUCACCUCAGUUAGAUCUUCCAUAUUUGUUGGCUUGACAUCAAUAAUAUUGAAACUUUGAUUGCUUAUUUGCAAGUUCCAAAGGUUUAUACGGAGAUCAUCAGCUGAUAUAAAUGUUUCCCCAUCACAGUUAGUUGAAAUAGAAUUGAUAUGAUAGUCAUGUGCAUGGGCAUACACUCUUCUACAUCUAGCAGCAAGGCUGGUCUCACCGCUAGUAACCACAGGUAAGCGUAAUCCAGGAAGACCACCAGGUGGAAACGACAAAUCAUUGCUUAAACAUUCAGAAGAUCCAUCUGUGUAGCACCCAUUUGCAAGAUACUGUUUUUGACUGGAAGAAACGCUUGAACUGGGCAUGCUACCUUUUGCAACACCUCUGGAAGGGUCGAUAUUCAGAUCAGAUAUCUUCUUAACUUUCUUCUCUUGGACCUUCCAGAACUUAAUAGUUUUGUCAUUAGUAGACAAAAGGAAGAGGGCACCAUUAGCCAUUUGGCACCACCGGAUCUUAUUGAUCUUCUCCUCAAUCUCCAAACUCUUCAAAUAAUCAAACUCAGGCUCAUGGCUUUGAAACUCUGUUUUGUAACGGAAUUCGGGAUGCCGAGCGACUGGAUAAUCCAUUCUCUCUAAUUCUCUUUGGCUUCCAGCAUGCUCCUUCGCAUCGGUCCUUUCAAAUAACACCACCCUACCCCCUCGAUCCCCGGUGGCAAGAUGGUCGCCAGUUCUAUCAAACUCAAUAGCUGAAAUGACAUCAACUUCCUGAACUUCUUCGCCGGCCGUACGUUCACCAAAUACCUGAGAGAAUUUCCACUCCAAUGGAGCUGGUGUUCCCGCCGAAGCUCCGCCAUCACCAGCGUUCAUCUUUCCUCAACCGAUUAAAA